CGGAUUAGCGGCGGACGGGUGAGUAACACGUGAGUAACCUGCCUUAGACAUUGGGAUAGCCUCGGGAAACCGGGAUUAAUACCGAAUAAAAUCAUAAUGACACAUGUCAUAACGAUCAAAACUCCGGUGGUCUAAGAUGGACUCGCGUCCCAUUAGCUAGUUGGUAGAGUAAAAGCCUACCAAGGCGACGAUGAGUAGCCGGCCUGAGAGGGUGAACGGCCACAUUGGAACUGAGAAACGGUCCAA
rnacentral:rRNA from 1 species